GACGAACGCUGGCGGCGUGCUUAACACAUGCAAGUCGAACGGUGAAGCCUGGGGCUUGCCUUGGGUGGAUGAGUGGCGAACGGGUGAGUAAUACGUGAGUAACCUGCCUUAGACUCUGGGAUACGCCUGGAAAACUGGGUAUUAUAGUGUAUGAGACAUGUAACCGUCUGCAGCUGUUUGGAAGGGGUUCUGCUGGUUAUGGAUGGGCUCGCGGCCUAUCAGCUUGUUGGUGGGGUAAUGGCUCACCAAGGCGACGACGGGUAGCCGGCCUGAGAGGGUGACCGGCCACACUGGGACUGAGACACGGCCCAGACUCCUACGGGAGGCAGCAGUGGGGAAUAUUGCACAAUGGGCGGAAGCCUGAUGCAGCGACGCCGCGUGAGGGAUGACGGCCUUCGGGUUGUAAACCUCUUUCAGCACGGAAGAAGCGAAAGUGACGGUACGUGCAGAAGAAGCGCCGGCUAACUACGUG
rnacentral:rRNA from 1 species